rnacentral:rRNA from 1 species
AAACAUCUUUUCUUGUUAGUUUUUGAAGUAUGGCCUGCCCGCUGACAUUGAGUGUUGAAGGGCCGCGGUAUUUUGACCGUGCACAGGUAGCAUAAUCAUUAGUUCUUUAAUUGUGAUCUGGAAUGAAUGGCUUGACGAGGCACGAGCUGUCUUAAUGUUGAAUGUUUUAUUGAAUUUGGUCUUUGAGUUAAAAUUCUUAGAUGUUUUUAUGGGACGAGAAGACCCUAUAGAGUUUGACAUUUGGUUUAUUUAUUUGUUGGUUGUUUGUUUAUUUUGUUGGUGAGGAGGCUUUUUGUUUUGUUGGGGUGAUGAGAGGAAUGUAGUUAACUCUUCUUUGUUUUGAUUAUAUUUAUUUAUAGUUAUUUGAUCCAUUUAUUUUGAUUAUAAGACUAAAUUACCUUAGGGAUAACAGCGUAAA